ACGAACGCUGGCGGCAUGCCUAACACAUGCAAGUCGAACGAGACCUUCGGGUCUAGUGGCGCACGGGUGCGUAACGCGUGGGAACCUGCCCUUAGGUUCGGAAUAACUCCCCGAAAGGGGUGCUAAUACCGGAUAAUGUCUUCGGACCAAAGAUUUAUCGCCUUUGGAUGGGCCCGCGUUGGAUUAGCUAGUUGGUAGGGUAAAAGCCUACCAAGGCGACGAUCCAUAGCUGGUCUGAGAGGAUGAUCAGCCACACUGGGACUGAGACACGGCCCAGACUCCUACGGGAGGCAGCAGUGGGGAAUACUGGACAAUGGGCGAAAGCCUGAUCCAGCAAUGCCGCGUGAGUGAUGAAGGCCUUAGGGUUGUAAAGCUCUUUUACCCGGGAUGAUAAUGACAGUACCGGGAGAAUAAGCUCCGGCUAACUCCGUG
rnacentral:rRNA from 1 species